rnacentral:rRNA from 1 species
UACGUAGGGUGCGAGCGUUGUCCGGAAUUACUGGGCGUAAAGAGCUCGUAGGUGGUUUGUCGCGUUGUCCGUGAAAACUCACAGCUCAACUGUGGGCGUGCGGGCGAUACGGGCAGACUGGAGUACUGCAGGGGAGACUGGAAUUCCUGGUGUAGCGGUGGAAUGCGCAGAUAUCAGGAGGAACACCAAUAGCGAAGGCAGCUCGCUGGGACGUUACUGACGCUGAGACGCGAAAGCGUGGGGAGCGAACAGG